CGGAAGAGUCUCCACUUGGAAAGAUUUAUAGGACUCGAUCAUGCCUUGACUCCCUAUGCAUUGAUGCUAGCUAGUUGUAGUUUGUUGAAACAAGUCACCGAUCACAGCCUCGCUUUGAAACUUCGCCUUGAUAUAUGGACCUACCUCAUCAACUACCUAGCGACCAGAGGACCUUAGUUGCAGCCUUUUGUGACUGCUUCUUUGAUCCAACUUUUGUGUCGACUCACGAAAUUUGGAUGGUUUGAUAAUGAUCGAUUUCGGGACCUGGUCAAAGAAUCAAUGAACUUCUUGAGUCAGGUGAUGUGAAGUGCAUCUAUUACUGGAUUGCUAUAGGAAAAAUGAUUUGUGCCAUUUUAACCGCAAAUAUAAAAGAUCAUCUCAUACCAAAUGCAUAAAACUAGAAGGCUUUGGCAGAACAAAAUACAGCAGUGAGUGAUAAGAAGAUAGCCAUGCCCAACACCAUCAAGAAAGUUUUUCCAAGUUUCUCAGCUCAAAUCUCAACCACGUUAUAGAAUAGCAAUUUGAAGAUUUCUUAAAAAAAUAGAAGCAAAAGAAGAAUUACCCUCCACAGCAGCUAAUGCCUUUAUUUGGCUCUUCAUAGAUGGGUUACCCGGCUCUAAGACAAUGGCGAUCGUCAAUUUGGAGAAGAGAGUUCUAUACAUCAUAUACUAUCACAAUUCACAGCAAGGAAAGUAAUAUAAGAAACAAAA